rnacentral:rRNA from 1 species
GAUGAACGCUGGCGGCGUGCCUAAUACAUGCAAGUCGAGCGAACGGACGAGAAGCUUGCUUCUCUGAUGUUAGCGGCGGACGGGUGAGUAACACGUGGAUAACCUACCUAUAAGACUGGGAUAACUUCGGGAAACCGGAGCUAAUACCGGAUAAUAUUUUGAACCGCAUGGUUCAAAAGUGAAAGACGGUCUUGCUGUCACUUAUAGAUGGAUCCGCGCUGCAUUAGCUAGUUGGUAAGGUAACGGCUUACCAAGGCAACGAUGCAUAGCCGACCUGAGAGGGUGAUCGGCCACACUGGAACUGAGACACGGUCCAGACUCCUACGGGAGGCAGCAGUAGGGAAUCUUCCGCAAUGGGCGAAAGCCUGACGGAGCAACGCCGCGUGAGUGAUGAAGGUCUUCGGAUCGUAAAACUCUGUUAUUAGGGAAGAACAUAUGUGUAAGUAACUGUGCACAUCUUGACGGUACCUAAUCAGAAAGCCACGGCUAACUACGUGCCAGCAGCCGCGGUAAUACGUAGGUGGCAAGCGUUAUCCGGAAUUAUUGGGCGUAAAGCGCGCGUAGGCGGUUUUUUAAGUCUGAUGUGAAAGCCCACGGCUCAACCGUGGAGGGUCAUUGGAAACUGGAAAACUUGAGUGCAGAAGAGGAAAGUGGAAUUCCAUGUGUAGCGGUGAAAUGCGCAGAGAUAUGGAGGAACACCAGUGGCGAAGGCGACUUUCUGGUCUGUAACUGACGCUGAUGUGCGAAAGCGUGGGGAUCAAACAGGAUUAGAUACCCUGGUAGUCCACGCCGUAAACGAUGAGUGCUAAGUGUUAGGGGGUUUCCGCCCCUUAGUGCUGCAGCUAACGUAUUAAGCACUCCGCCUGGGGAGUACGACCGCAAGGUUGAAACUCAAAGGAAUUGACGGGGACCCGCACAAGCGGUGGAGCAUGUGGUUUAAUUCGAAGCAACGCGAAGAACCUUACCAAAUCUUGACAUCCUUUGACAACUCUAGAGAUAGAGCUUUCCCCUUCGGGGGACAAAGUGACAGGUGGUGCAUGGUUGUCGUCAGCUCGUGUCGUGAGAUGUUGGGUUAAGUCCCGCAACGAGCGCAACCCUUAAGCUUAGUUGCCAUCAUUAAGUUGGGCACUCUAAGUUGACUGCCGGUGACAAACCGGAGGAAGGUGGGGAUGACGUCAAAUCAUCAUGCCCCUUAUGAUUUGGGCUACACACGUGCUACAAUGGACAAUACAAAGGGCAGCGAAACCGUGAGGUCAAGCAAAUCCCAUAAAGUUGUUCUCAGUUCGGAUUGUAGUCUGCAACUCGACUACAUGAAGCUGGAAUCGCUAGUAAUCGUAGAUCAGCAUGCUACGGUGAAUACGUUCCCGGGUCU